rnacentral:rRNA from 1 species
UACAGGGGGGGCAAGCGUUGUUCGGAAUUACUGGGCGUAAAGGGCUCGUAGGCGGCCAACUAAGUCACACGUGAAAUCCCCAGGCUUAACCUGGGAACUGCGUGUGAUACUGGAUGGCUUGAAUUCGGGAGAGGGAUGCAGAAUUCCAGGUGUAGCGGUGAAAUGCGUAGAUAUCUGGAGGAACACCGAUGGCGAAGGCAGCCCCCUGGGCUAACACUGACGCUCAUGCACGAAAGCGUGGGGAGCAAACAGG